rnacentral:rRNA from 1 species
CUCAGUUCGGAUCGGAGUCUGCAACCCGACUCCGUGAAGCUGGGUUCGCUAGUAAUCGCGCAUCAGCCAUGGCGCGGUGAAUACGUUCCCGGGCCUUGUACACACCGCCCGUCAAGCCAUGGAAGCCGGGGGUGCCUGAAGUGUGCAGCCGCAAGGAGCGCCCUAAGGUAAAACCGGUGACUGGGGCUAAGUCGUAACAAGGUAAC